rnacentral:lncRNA from 1 species
CUAUAACUUAUUUUAUCGCUAUUUUGUGCAUUUUUCCUUUGAUCUUUUUUAUGAUAAUUUUCAUAUCAUGCUACUCGCUUGAGAUGGAAAAUUAUCGCUAGAAACUAAGCAUGCACGUGGUGUUGCUAACGAAAUUGACAUGAAAUUAACAUGAAAUUGACAACGUUUUCAUAGGUAAAAUAGCGAUAAAAAGAUUAUCAUUGUUCAUCUCAACUCGAUUGCCUUUCUCGCUUUCGUCGUCCCGGCUCAAGCGAGAAAAUCAAUCUCGUUGAGAUGAUCACCGAUAAUCUAUAAGUACAAGU